GACGAACGCUGGCGGCGUGCCUAAUACAUGCAAGUAGAACGCUGAAGCUUGGUGCUUGCACCGAGCGGAUGAGUUGCGAACGGGUGAGUAACGCGUAGGUAACCUGCCUGGUAGCGGGGGAUAACUAUUGGAAACGAUAGCUAAUACCGCAUAACAGUAGAUAUCGCAUGAUAGCUACUUGAAAGGUGCAAAUGCACCACUACCGGAUGGACCUGCGUUGUAUUAGCUAGUUGGUGAGGUAACGGCUCACCAAGGCAACGAUACAUAGCCGACCUGAGAGGGUGAUCGGCCACACUGGGACUGAGACACGGCCCAGACUCCUACGGGAGGCAGCAGUAGGGAAUCUUCGGCAAUGGACGGAAGUCUGACCGAGCAACGCCGCGUGAGUGAAGAAGGUUUUCGGAUCGUAAAGCUCUGUUGUAAGAGAAGAACGAGUGUGAGAGUGGAAAGUUCACACUGUGACGGUAUCUUACCAGAAAGGGACGGCUAACUACGUG
rnacentral:rRNA from 1 species